GGGUUGUGAGGUUAAGCGACUAAGCGUACACGGUGGAUGCCCUGGCAGUCAGAGGCGAUGAAGGACGUGCUAAUCUGCGAUAAGCGUCGGUAAGGUGAUAUGAACCGUUAUAACCGGCGAUUUCCGAAUGGGGAAACCCAGUGUGAUUCGUCACACUAUCAUUAACUGAAUCCAUAGGUUAAUGAGGCGAACCGGGGGAACUGAAACAUCUAAGUACCCCGAGGAAAAGAAAUCAACCGAGAUUCCCCCAGUAGCGGCGAGCGAACGGGGAGCAGCCCAGAGCCUGAAUCAGUGUGUGUGUUAGUGGAAGCGUCUGGAAAGGCGUGCGAUACAGGGUGACAGCCCCGUACACAAAAAUGCACAUACUGUGAGCUCGAUGAGUAGGGCGGGACACGUGGUAUCCUGUCUGAAUAUGGGGGGACCAUCCUCCAAGGCUAAAUACUCCUGACUGACCGAUAGUGAACCAGUACCGUGAGGGAAAGGCGAAAAGAACCCCGGCGAGGGGAGUGAAAAAGAACCUGAAACCGUGUACGUACAAGCAGUGGGAGCACGCUUAGGCGUGUGACUGCGUACCUUUUGUAUAAUGGGUCAGCGACUUAUAUUCUGUAGCAAGGUUAACCGAAUAGGGGAGCCGAAGGGAAACCGAGUCUUAACUGGGCGUUAAGUUGCAGGGUAUAGACCCGAAACCCGGUGAUCUAGCCAUGGGCAGGUUGAAGGUUGGGUAACACUAACUGGAGGACCGAACCGACUAAUGUUGAAAAAUUAGCGGAUGACUUGUGGCUGGGGGUGAAAGGCCAAUCAAACCGGGAGAUAGCUGGUUCUCCCCGAAAGCUAUUUAGGUAGCGCCUCGUGAAUUCAUCUCCGGGGGUAGAGCACUGUUUCGGCAAGGGGGUCAUCCCGACUUACCAACCCGAUGCAAACUGCGAAUACCGGAGAAUGUUAUCACGGGAGACACACGGCGGGUGCUAACGUCCGUCGUGAAGAGGGAAACAACCCAGACCGCCAGCUAAGGUCCCAAAGUCAUGGUUAAGUGGGAAACGAUGUGGGAAGGCCCAGACAGCCAGGAUGUUGGCUUAGAAGCAGCCAUCAUUUAAAGAAAGCGUAAUAGCUCACUGGUCGAGUCGGCCUGCGCGGAAGAUGUAACGGGGCUAAACCAUGCACCGAAGCUGCGGCAGCGACGCUGAUGCGUUGUUGGGUAGGGGAGCGUUCUGUAAGCCUGUGAAGGUGUACUGUGAGGUAUGCUGGAGGUAUCAGAAGUGCGAAUGCUGACAUAAGUAACGAUAAAGCGGGUGAAAAGCCCGCUCGCCGGAAGACCAAGGGUUCCUGUCCAACGUUAAUCGGGGCAGGGUGAGUCGACCCCUAAGGCGAGGCCGAAAGGCGUAGUCGAUGGGAAACAGGUUAAUAUUCCUGUACUUGGUGUUACUGCGAAGGGGGGACGGAGAAGGCUAUGUUGGCCGGGCGACGGUUGUCCCGGUUUAAGCGUGUAGGCUGGUUUUCCAGGCAAAUCCGGAAAAUCAAGGCUGAGGCGUGAUGACGAGGCACUACGGUGCUGAAGCAACAAAUGCCCUGCUUCCAGGAAAAGCCUCUAAGCAUCAGGUAACAUCAAAUCGUACCCCAAACCGACACAGGUGGUCAGGUAGAGAAUACCAAGGCGCUUGAGAGAACUCGGGUGAAGGAACUAGGCAAAAUGGUGCCGUAACUUCGGGAGAAGGCACGCUGAUAUGUAGGUGAAGUCCCUCGCGGAUGGAGCUGAAAUCAGUCGAAGAUACCAGCUGGCUGCAACUGUUUAUUAAAAACACAGCACUGUGCAAACACGAAAGUGGACGUAUACGGUGUGACGCCUGCCCGGUGCCGGAAGGUUAAUUGAUGGGGUUAGCGCAAGCGAAGCUCUUGAUCGAAGCCCCGGUAAACGGCGGCCGUAACUAUAACGGUCCUAAGGUAGCGAAAUUCCUUGUCGGGUAAGUUCCGACCUGCACGAAUGGCGUAAUGAUGGCCAGGCUGUCUCCACCCGAGACUCAGUGAAAUUGAACUCGCUGUGAAGAUGCAGUGUACCCGCGGCAAGACGGAAAGACCCCGUGAACCUUUACUAUAGCUUGACACUGAACAUUGAGCCUUGAUGUGUAGGAUAGGUGGGAGGCUUUGAAGUGUGGACGCCAGUCUGCAUGGAGCCGACCUUGAAAUACCACCCUUUAAUGUUUGAUGUUCUAACGUUGACCCGUAAUCCGGGUUGCGGACAGUGUCUGGUGGGUAGUUUGACUGGGGCGGUCUCCUCCUAAAGAGUAACGGAGGAGCACGAAGGUUGGCUAAUCCUGGUCGGACAUCAGGAGGUUAGUGCAAUGGCAUAAGCCAGCUUGACUGCGAGCGUGACGGCGCGAGCAGGUGCGAAAGCAGGUCAUAGUGAUCCGGUGGUUCUGAAUGGAAGGGCCAUCGCUCAACGGAUAAAAGGUACUCCGGGGAUAACAGGCUGAUACCGCCCAAGAGUUCAUAUCGACGGCGGUGUUUGGCACCUCGAUGUCGGCUCAUCACAUCCUGGGGCUGAAGUAGGUCCCAAGGGUAUGGCUGUUCGCCAUUUAAAGUGGUACGCGAGCUGGGUUUAGAACGUCGUGAGACAGUUCGGUCCCUAUCUGCCGUGGGCGCUGGAGAACUGAGGGGGGCUGCUCCUAGUACGAGAGGACCGGAGUGGACGCAUCACUGGUGUUCGGGUUGUCAUGCCAAUGGCACUGCCCGGUAGCUAAAUGCGGAAGAGAUAAGUGCUGAAAGCAUCUAAGCACGAAACUUGCCCCGAGAUGAGUUCUCCCUGACUCCUUGAGAGUCCUGAAGGAACGUUGAAGACGACGACGUUGAUAGGCCGGGUGUGUAAGCGCAGCGAUGCGUUGAGCUAACCGGUACUAAUGAACCGUGAGGCUUAACCUUACAACGCCGAAGGUGUUU
rnacentral:rRNA from 1 species